rnacentral:tRNA from 1 species
UAUAUCUUAGUGUAAGAUGCACAAAAAUUUUUGAAAUUUUUAGGAAUAGUUUAAUUCUAUUAGAUAUAA